rnacentral:rRNA from 1 species
GGGUCAGUAGGUUGGUCGUGCCACCGGUACGUACUGGUCUCACUGAUUCCUCCUUCCUGAAGAACCGUAAUGCCAUUAAUUUGGUGUUGCGGGGAAACAGGACUGUUACUUUGAAGAAAUUAGAGUGUUUAAAGCAAGCUAACGCUUGAAUACGUUAGCAUGGAAUAAUGAAAUAGGACGAUCGAUCCUAUUUUGUUGGUUUCUAGGAUUGACGUA